UUGACGCUGGCGGCGGCCUAACACAUGCAAGUCGAGCGGUAGAGAGAAGCUUGCUUCUCUUGAGAGCGGCGGACGGGUGAGUAAUGCCUAGGAAUCUGCCUGGUAGUGGGGGAUAACGUCCGGAAACGGACGCUAAUACCGCAUACGUCCUACGGGAGAAAGCAGGGGACCUUCGGGCCUUGCGCUAUCAGAUGAGCCUAGGUCGGAUUACCUAGUUGGUGAGGUAAUGGCUCACCAAGGCGACGAUCCGUAACUGGUCUGAGAGGAUGAUCAGUCACACUGGAACUGAGACACGGUCCAGACUCCUACGGGAGGCACUCAGUGGGGAAUAUUGGACAAUGGGCGAAAGCCUGAUCCAGCCAUGCCGCGUGUGUGAAGAAAGGUCUUCCGGAAUUGUAA
rnacentral:rRNA from 1 species